rnacentral:rRNA from 1 species
GAUGAACGCUGGCGGCGUGCUUAACACAUGCAAGUCGAACGGAAAGGCUCCUGCUUGCAGGGGUACUCGAGUGGCGAACGGGUGAGUAACACGUGGGUGAUCUGCCCUGCACUUCGGGAUAAGCCUGGGAAACUGGGUCUAAUACCGGAUAGGACGAUGGUUUGGAUGCCAUUGUGGAAAGUUUUUCGGUGUGGGAUGAGCUCGCGGCCUAUCAGCUUGUUGGUGGGGUAAUGGCCUACCAAGGCGUCGACGGGUAGCCGGCCUGAGAGGGUGUACGGCCACAUUGGGACUGAGCUACGGCCCAGACUCCUACGGGAGGCAGCAGUGGGGAAUAUUGCACAAUGGGCGCAAGCCUGAUGCAGCGACGCCGCGUGGGGGAUGACGGCCUUCGGGUUGUAAACUCCUUUCGCUAGGGACGAAGUGCAAGUGACGGUACCUGGAGAAGAAGCACCGGCUAACUACGUG